rnacentral:rRNA from 1 species
UACGGAGGGAGCGAGCGUUGUUCGGAAUUACUGGGCGUAAAGGGAGCGUAGGCGGAUAGUUUAGUCAGAGGUGAAAGCCCAGGGCUCAACCUUGGAAUUGCCUUUGAUACUGGCUAUCUUGAGUACGGAAGAGGUAUGUGGAACUCCGAGUGUAGAGGUGAAAUUCGUAGAUAUUCGGAAGAACACCAGUGGCGAAGGCGACAUACUGGUCCGUUACUGACGCUGAGGCUCGAAAGCGUGGGGAGCAAACAGG